UGUGCCCACUCCAGUGCCAACUGGAUCACCAGCUGAUGACGAGGAAAAGAGGACUGCACAAACUGGAGUCACUCCUGAGAUGAAAUUUCAGAAAGUGCCAAAUCCAGCCAGGCCUCUGUGUGACUAACAAGGAUGCCAUCCCCACCACAGAGGAGUGGAAGAACUGUGGCAACCCCUCAGCAGAGGAGCUUGGAGAGAGCAAGGGAGCCAGUGGUAUGGUUAAUUCUGGACCUGUCAUGCUGUAGAAAUCAUCUCUUCUGCCUAAGGCAGCCCUGUUGUGUUGGCAGUGUAGCCAAACUGCAGCUGGAGGAAGUGCCUGCUUGGCUGAGUCAAUGCAGCCGCCUUCUGCAAAGUUACCAGGAAGUAACAUCACAGCUUCACAUUUCUAUAGACUUAGAGCAAGGUCUUCUAAAUUAUGAUCAUAAACUCAAUCCAACCGAAAAAUGACAAAGGAACUUGUUUGGCAUGUGGAAAAGCAUCUCUGGGUUAUCUCCUUUUCCCAGCAUUUCUUCUGUUGGAGUAGGAUUAUUGCUGCCAUUAUUCCUAAUAGUUUCUGAUUGCACAGAGGACAUGCUCUAAAAAACACUGAAGUCAACAGAAAAAUUUCCUGAGAGCCCAAAUCACAAAUUCAUAUGGUUUUCUCAAUUCAAGAUCAUCCACUCUCUGGCUCCAGUGUGCUAGGAUAGGUCCAAAAUACUUGUUUUUCAAAACAGAAAAAUUAACUUCAACAUUAAACUUGGCACUGAUUUCAAAAGGAUUAUCCCACUUAUCUAUGUUCUGGCAAUCCUUGCUUGCAGAACAGUUUUAAAAUAUGUUAAGUUUUAUGCUGAUAGUUCACAUAUCCUUAUACUAAAUAAAUAUGUACAUUUAUGUACAGUGUGAUGUGAUUUAGGUCUCAUAUGACUGUGUGACAUUGUUUCUCCUAGGAAUGGCUGUACUCCUCAGCAUGGUGAGGAAAAUGCUGUUUCAACAUAAUGGAAUAUUUUAAUUCCAGGUAGUCAAAAUGAUGUCUUUAACAUACGGUUGUCUGCGGUUUGUGGCAUAGUAUUCAUAACUUUGCUAAUUCCUUUGGGUUUUAAUUAGAAACAUUCAGCUACAUUUCCCAAAAACAUGCAAAUGCUGGGCCCCCCACAAACAGCAUUAUUAAGAUGGUUUCUUAAUCGAUUUUUCUUUGGGAGCAAUUCAGUUCACUCCCAUUUUAUUGUGGCAAACACUGGCAUUUGUCACUUCUUCCAGUAACUGAUGCUUUCUACUUUAAUAAAUGCACAUAUUAGAUGCUAUUCUCUUUCUCUGUUUGAUAGGUGUGUAGUGUCAGGAGGAGGAAGGUCGCAAUGAUGUUAAGUUUUCUGCUAAGCAAAGGAUCAGAGCGUAAAUGAAAUCUUGAAAGCUGGGAAAUGAGAAUGUGCAAGUGUAAAUAAUGUAUUAAUUAUUGACAGCUAGGGGACCGAAAAGUCCUGUUUAGUAGUGACAUCUUCAUUGUCACACUGCCUGACACUAUCUCAGGUAUUUUUUUUUAAUAACAGGUUUCACCCCCAAGAUAGUAAGUAUUUCAAUUUACCAGUGUAACUAUUUAUAUUUUUUAUUUUCUUUGGCUUUUCUUUAUCUUACUGCAGUCUAAGUGCUUGGUGCAGGAGGGGGAGAAGCCAAUCCUUGUUUUUCUUUGUGGCAAGUGACAUUAUGGUACAAAAUGGAUUUUUUUUUUUUUUUUUUUAGUAAUGAAAGAACAAUAUACUGAGGGGCAAAAGGAGAUUCCACUUCAUUGGUUAUUUAUGGAACUUAAAAUAUAGUUUAAGGAAAGACAUAUAAUAGCUAAGGGCUCAGUUUUGCCAACAGGCCUUCCCAGCAAUGACUACUGCUUAAUAUAUGCCAGAGCAGAAUUGGUUUCACCAUGGCUUUUUGAGCGAGACAUUAGUUAUAUUAAGGAAAGGUGUUCCUGGGUUAAAAAGCAUUUAAUACUCUGUACUUUCCAGUCAUUGCACAAAGUCUAAGAGUAGUAGUGAAUUCCUUAAUAUUUCAAUUAUUUUCGUUACAAAUUAGAGCAGAAAAAAUUCCCAUGAUCCCAAAAAGGUCUUCAUAUAUUACGUGCUUGCAUAAGGGGCUAGAGGUAAAUAGCUAGGAGCUUACAAAUACUGAUAUUUAAACUGAAUAGGGGAAAAAAAAUCCACCACAAGUCACCAAACAAAAAUAACAACAAAACCCCUCCACCACCAAAAAUACCUCCUGAUCCUUCUUUGCCAAAUGACCUGUGAACUUUCCUCCCCUCAGCCCCCAGGUAAGGGGCUCCAGUGCCCUUUGGCAAUCCUGUGCAACCUCCAGACCUCUGUUGGUCCCUGACUCCUGCUCUAACCCCCCACUGGCUUUGCCCAUCAUUAGAUUUUGUUCCCUCUGCGGGUGGAACACACGAGGAGCUCGCAGGGCUUGGGCAGGCGCUGAGGAAAGCCAGGGAUCCCCAGCCUGCAAUGUCCCUUGGGGGCAGAAGGUGCUGCUGAGGGCUGGGCCUUAAACAAAAAGAAGAGGCAACUACUUCAGAUGCUCUGCACACCGUGAUAUUGUCUUUGCUUUCACCUUACUGAAGAGAACUGGGAGGCAGCUUUCAGUCAAAUCCCUUUCUCCUGAAAAAUGCAGGUUCUGAUCUGUGGAAUUGCUUAGCAAAUUUCUGUCAGCCCUAUUGAACAGAUAGGGUUGAUAAAUCCUGGUAUAUGGAGAACUGGAAAAAGUGGAAAUGUUUAAUUUCACUGUUUUCAAAAAAGUGUUUUGAUUUAUCACAUUGAAAAGAUCUUCCAUUUUAAAAGUUCGAUUUCUUUGUUUAACAAACAUUAAUGUUUUUACUAAGUUAAGAUUAAAGAACCAUUUCCCCUGCGAUUUCCCACUUCCCAGCUGAAUCCAGCCAUCGGUUCCGGGGCAGGGAUGCCCGGGCCGUGCCCCUCUCCCUGCUCCUGGAGCUCUCUGUGCACAGCGGGCCCCGGGCAGGGACGUGCCCAGCUGCACCUCCCGCUCCAAGGGCAUCUCUUCAGGUGCUGGCACAGGAGGGGAAAAUGCAAUUCGCUCUUCAAGUCUGUUGUUGUUUACAGAACAUGUGUCUCAAACAUUAAAAAGUGCCAUAUGUGAUGCUGAAUAUAGAGCCUUCUUCCUCUGCCCAAGAAUAGAACUUUAUCAAAAUGAAAUUUCCUGCUCAUUUGAGCCCGUCUCCAUAGCAACAGUACAGUACACCUGUGAUGUACAGGCAGAAGCUGCUACAACCUCUGAACCAGGCAGAAUGAGCCGUGCUCCAUCCCCCUGUGGAAGGCAGAAGUACAUCUCUGAUGUAUCCAUGGCACAUUUUGCUAUAUGCUACCUAUCUGUGGGCCCUAUAUACAAUCAUUUUAUUCAGGAUUACCCUACUUAACUUUGGUAAAUAAAUACAAAUGUGCUACUUACAUGAAGUUGUACUCUUGCAAAAAUUCAAUCUAUUCUUGUCCUGAGGGAAGACUUUACAAUGCAAACAUUACACGAAAUAAAAGCUUGUGCUCACAUUUGUAA